GACUAACGUUGGCGGCGUGCCUAAUACAUGCAAGUCGUACGAGGUGGGGGCAACUCCACCUAGUGGCGAACGGGUGAGUAACACGUGGAUGAUCUACCUCCAAGAUUGGGACAACCAGCCGAAAGGUUGGCUAAUACCGAAUAUGACCACGGCCAGUAUCAUCUGGCUGAGGUAAAAGAUGGGGACCGCAAGGCCUAUCACUUGGGAAUGAGUCCGCGGCUGAUUAGCUAGUUGGCGGGGUAAUGGCCCACCAAGGCGACGAUCAGUAGCCGGCCUGAGAGGGUGAACGGCCACACUGGAACUGAGAUACGGUCCAGACUCCUACGGGAGGCAGCAGUAGGGAAUUUUCCACAAUGGGCGCAAGCCUGAUGGAGCAACGCCGCGUGAGGGAUGAAGGUUUUCGGAUUGUAAACCUCUUUGAAGUGGGAAGAACGAUUUGCGGAUCAACAACCCGCAGAAGUGACGGUACCACUAAAACAAGUCACGGCUAACUCUGUGCCAGCAGCCGCGGUAAUACAGAGGUGACGAACGUUGUCCGGAAUCACUGGGCGUAAAGGGCGUGUAGGCGGUUGAUUAAGUCAGAUGUGAAAUCUCUUGGCUCAACCAGGAAAUUGCAUUUGAAACUGAUCAGCUAGAGUUCGGUAGAGGAAGGCGGAAUUCCAGGUGUAGCGGUGAAAUGCGUAGAUAUCUGGAGGAACACCUGUGGCGAAGGCGGCUUUCUGGUCCGAUACUGACGCUGAAACGCGAAAGCUAGGGGAGCAAACAGG
rnacentral:rRNA from 1 species